rnacentral:tRNA from 1 species
GCCUUGUAAGCGCUAGGUCGCGGGUUCGAUUCCCGCCCGGGGCG